GAGAGGGGAGGACGCUGGGACUGCCCUGGUCACAGUCCUGGUGCUGCUGGGAUUCUGUCUAGGAACCUCAGUGGCAUAUUCAUACAUCCCAGAAGAAAAAUCAACACUCUUCUUUGAGGUAGAAUCACUGGACCACCCCUGGGACAAUGUGACUCUGAUAUGCAGAUCUCCAAAUGAGGCUCAAGCUUUCCAGCUGCUGAAGGACGGGGUGGCCCAAGCCCCAGUCUAUCUUCGAGCCCGUGAGCACCGGUUUCCCCUGGGGAAGGUGACAGAGGACACGAGAGGCAU